GGGCGCUGCCCCCCCAAUCCAUCGACAAACUCAACCAACAGAGCAAUUCUUCUAAAUUUUUCAGUCUUUCCAAUUUCCAAGCACUUCUCUUCCCUUCUCUUCUGUAAACAAAGCACUUCAUUUUCUACAUUUGUCAACAGUCUUCUAAUUUCUUUUCAAGAUAAACUCACUCAUCAUGGCUCCUGAUCUCACCACCGCCACCAAGACUACCUCUCUCGUUAAGCAAGCUAGUAUAUCUAGCUGUGCUUAUGUGACGUUCUUGGCUGGUAAUGGAGAUUAUGUAAAAGGUGUUGUCGGCUUAGCCAAGGGCUUGAGGAAGGUUAAUAGCAAAUACCCACUAGUGGUAGCUAUCUUGCCCGAUGUCCCAGAGGAGCACCGAAAGAUUCUGGUCUCCCAGGGGUGCAUAGUCAGGGAAAUUGAACCUUUGCACCCGCCUGAGAACCAGACCCAAUUUGCCAUGGCUUAUUAUGUCAUUAACUACUCCAAGCUCCGUAUAUGGGAGUUCGUGGAGUAUAGCAAGAUGAUUUAUUUGGAUGGUGACAUCCAAGUAUUUGAUAAUAUAGACCACCUCUUCGACUUGCAAGAUGGGUACUUUUAUGGUGUGAUGGACUGUUUUUGUGAGCAGACAUGGAGCCACUCACCACAGCACAAGAUCGGCUACUGCCAGCAGUGCCCGGAUAGGGUUCAGUGGCCUGCUAAGAUGGGCCCUAAACCUUCCCUUUACUUCAAUGCUGGCAUGUUUGUUUUUGAGCCCAAUUUGUCCACAUAUGAUGACCUCUUGAGGACCGUCAGACUUACCCCUCCUACCCUCUUUGCUGAGCAGGAUUUCUUGAACAUGUUCUUCAAGGACGUUUACAGGCCAAUUCCUCCAAUUUACAACCUUCUAUUGGCUUUGCUCUGGCGCCAUCCUGAGAACAUUGAACUUGACAAAGUCAAGGUUGCUCACUACUGUGCUGCUGGCUCCAAGCCAUGGAGGUACACUGGGAAAGAAGAGAACAUGGACAGGGAAGACAUCAAGAUGCUGGUCAAUAAAUGGUGGGAUAUUUACGAUGACGAGUCUUUGGACUACAAGAGCACUGUGGCUGCUGCUGGUGGAACUGAAGGUGGUCUGCAACCAUUCUUGGCUGCGCUGUCGGAGGCUGGUGUUGCUCACUACAUUAACGCCCCAUCUGCUGCCUAGGCCUAAGGCUAUUGGUAGUAGAGACAAUUUGUAUAUUGAAAAGAAACGCUUUAUUUAUUAUUAGAGAUCAAUCAAAGCUCACAAACAAUCUUCUGUAAGGCAUUAACCAUCCCACCUUUAAUGGUCUGUGGUCUGGGAAGGUCAAAGAUAAUGGCAAAUCAAAUUAAUCACACUUCCAGAUAUCUCUGAUCAUAGGAACCUCUUGCGAGUUUGGUUAAAGAUCUCCCAUAUGCAGCGUUGUUUUCUUCUCAAAGGCAACAGCAGGUUCCUUUUUCCUUCUAUUUUCAUUGUAUAAAAUAUAAUUUUUUCAAUACCUAUAACAAAUUAAAUUUGAAUUCUUGGACAA